rnacentral:sRNA from 1 species
UAUAGAUAUCCGAAAACAUAUUGCGAGGGAUUUGCGAGGACUUGCGAGGAACAGCGCUAUUUUGCUACGAAUUUGCGAGAGAGAAGUUCAACUACAACCCAAAGUAGGAAGAUUAUUUAAAACGUGCUGACCUAACCUGCCUAGGACUCGCAACUCCGACGCAAAAUAUGCUACAGAAAGUUUGUACGCCGCAAGUUUACCGCAGUUUGCGAGGCUCUUAUCGUACAACAAAUCCCUCGCAAUUUGCGAUGACUUUGCGAGGAAUUCUUCCGUCGUUGCACUUUUCUCGCAAUUGCCACGCAAUAUUGCGUGGGAAUUCUCCCUCGCAUAUUUUGUGACUGAUUAACGACGUAUUGGUUUUCCCGCGCAAAGUGCUCGCAAGUCUAUAGCAAUUUGCGAGGGAUUUACGCCAUCUCAAAUUUCCUUCGCAAAUCGCCUGUUUUCUUGUAGAUUGAGAGAGAUUUCAAAGAAAUAGAAGGAGACGGUGGAGAGGUUGAGAGAGAUUUCAAAGAGAUUGAGGGAGAGUUGAGAUGUGAGAGAAAUGAAUGGAAAAUUGAGAUUGGAGGGAAUAUUAAGAGAUAUUUAAGGGUUUUGUUUUGAAA